CUUCUUGUUCUUCUUUUUUUUCUUUUUCUUCUUCUGUUAGUUGCCUUUCAGUUUCUUCUGUAAUGUGUGUUGUGUGUUCAUCCACGGCACCACGGAUACGUUGUGUCAAGGAUGCCUUGGUGGUGGUGGUAGUGCUGUAGAAAAGAGCAAGGAGAAGAAAAAGAGAAGAAAUCUUUGGUG
rnacentral:ribozyme from 1 species